UACGAAGGGUGCAAGCGUUACUCGGAAUUACUGGGCGUAAAGCGUGCGUAGGCGGUUUGUUAAGUCUGCUGUGAAAGCCCCGGGCUCAACCUGGGAAUGGCAGUGGAUACUGGCAAGCUAGAGUGCGGUAGAGGGUAGUGGAAUUCCCGGUGUAGCGGUGAAAUGCGUAGAGAUCGGGAGGAACACCAGUGGCGAAGGCGGCUACCUGGACCAGCACUGACACUGAGGCACGAAAGCGUGGGGAGCAAACAGG
rnacentral:rRNA from 1 species